rnacentral:rRNA from 1 species
GACGAACGCUGGCGGCGUGCUUAACACAUGCAAGUCGAACGGAAAGGCCCUGCUUUUGUGGGGUGCUCGAGUGGCGAACGGGUGAGUAACACGUGAGUAACCUGUCCUUUACUUUGGGAUAACUUCAGGAAACUGUGGCUAAUACCGGAUAGGAGCUCCUGCUGCAUGGUGUGGGUUGGAAAGUUUCGGCGGUUGGGGAUUGACUCGCGGCUUAUCAGCUUUUUGGUGGGGUAGUUGCUUACCAAGGAUUUGACGGGUAGCCGGCAUGUGAGGGUGACCGGAAAAAAUGGGACGGAGAUAAGGACCAGAAGAGAAGGGGAGGCAGGAGAGGGGAAUAUUGAAAAAUGGGAGGAAGCCAGAUGCAGCAAAGCCGCGUGCGGGAUGACGGCAUUCGGGUUGUAAACCGAAUUCGCCUGUGACGAAGAGUGAGUGACGGUAAUGGGUAAAGAAGCACCGGCUAACUACGUG